rnacentral:lncRNA from 1 species
UCAAGAGGUAUCAAGAGUUUCAUUGAUGAGAUAAUCGUCAUCUGCAAUACAAAAACAAAAUUGAAAAUGAAGAUAAUCGUCAUCUGCAAUACGAAAACGAAAUUGAAAAUGAUCAUAACAUUACAACAAUAAUAAAGAACCUUUGGCUUGGUAAGAAAUUUUUAUGAAGUCGCUUAUUGCUUAUGGAGUUUGUGCCUCUGCUUCAAAAUACCCUGGGAGCGACACCGCUUAUGUACUAAGCCAAACAAUCACAAGCACCUUUCUGAGUAGAAAAUUACAGGCUCCUGGCCAUUCUGCUGAGAAAGGUUUGGCUCUUGU